rnacentral:rRNA from 1 species
AUACGUAGGGUGCGAGCGUUGUCCGGAAUUACUGGGCGUAAAGAGCUCGUAGGUGGUCUGUCGCGUCAUUUGUGAAAGCCCGGGGCUUAACUCCGGGUUGGCAGGUGAUACGGGCAUGACUGGAGUACUGUAGGGGAGACUGGAAUUCCUGGUGUAGCGGUGAAAUGCGCAGAUAUCAGGAGGAACACCGGUGGCGAAGGCGGGUCUCUGGGCAGUAACUGACGCUGAGGAGCGAAAGCAUGGGUAGCGAACAGGAUUAGAUACCCUGGUAGUCCAUGCCGUAAACGGUGGGCGCUAGGUGUGGGUUUCCUUCCACGGGAUCCGUGCCGUAGCUAACGCAUUAAGCGCCCCGCCUGGGGAGUACGGCCGCAAGGCUAAA